rnacentral:sRNA from 1 species
GCCAGGCAUAGUGGCUUAUGCCUGUAAUCCCGGUGACUUGGUAGGCUGAGGCAGGAGGAUCACAAAUUUGAGGUCAGCCUCAGCAAAUUAGAGAGGCUCUAAGCAACUUGAGAUCUUGUCUCAA